UACAGAGGUGGCAAGCGUUGUUCGGAAUUACUGGGCGUAAAGGGCGCGUAGGCGGUUCGUUAAGUCCUGUGUGAAAUCCCCCAGCUCAACUGGGGAACUGCACAGGAAACUAGCGGGCUUGAGUUCGGGAGAGGGAAGCGGAAUUCCGGGUGUAGCGGUGAAAUGCGUAGAUAUCCGGAGGAGCACCGGUGGCGAAGGCGGCUUCCUGGACCGACACUGACGCUGAGGCGCGAAAGCUAGGGGAGCAAACGGG
rnacentral:rRNA from 1 species